rnacentral:lncRNA from 1 species
AACUUGAUGUCUCCUCUCCUGCUGGGGCCAUUACAGCCCUACUCUGGGGAAGAAUACAAGCACACCGGGGAGGUUGCCUAGCUGCUGGAGGAGAUGGUGUCUGGAGGCCUGAGGUCCAGUGCAUUGCACCUGCCCUGGCAUUAUCUCGCACACCCACCAGAGUCACCAGGCAGUUCCCGAUCCCAGUGAUCACAGAAACAAAAACGGAGGCUAUGGUACAACGGAGCUGCCAAGCAACGGCUUAAUUAGAAAUGGGACUAAGGAAGAAGACCCAGCAUGGGGCUGCAGCUGACAGCAAGCCAUUUACCAGGUGGCCAGAGGCGGGCUGGGGCUUUGGGGACUGGGUAGUGCUUUACGGACUUUCUUCCUCAUGGUGGGACUUUCCUGUGUAUGACAGGUCAAUGGCCAGCUUGUUCCUGCAGACAUCAUAGCACUGUCCUCUACCUGGUCGGGUUUUCCCUUGUGAUAAGAUAUAAGGAAAUAGGGGCAGAUGUGCAUCAUACAUUGUUUACUAAGGAGGAGAAAGACUCAAUGGUUAGCGCUCUUGGUGGACUCAGGGCGUGAGAACUUUGCCUCUUGUUCCUGUAAGUGUCUCUGUUACUAUUUUAUCAGUGCUUACAGUUUUGAUGUAGUAUCAAGAAGACUAUGUGGAAACUGAGGCAGGAGGCUGCAAUGAGCUCAAAACCAGCCUAGAUUAUAGUUACUUUCUAUAGAAUAAGCUAAUAUGUAGCAAGCUUAUUUCCAUUAUACUUAAUUAGUUAGAUUU